GUGCAGCUGACGAGUCCCAAAGAGGACGAAACGUGCGUCCUGGAU
rnacentral:hammerhead_ribozyme from 1 species